GCCCUUAGAGUUUGAUCCUGGCUCAGGAUGAACGCUAGCUACAGGCUUAACACAUGCAAGUCGAGGGGCAGCAUGGUCUUAGCUUGCUAAGGCCGAUGGCGACCGGCGCACGGGUGAGUAACGCGUAUCCAACCUGCCUUACACUCUUGGACAGCCUUCUGAAAGGGAGAUUAAUACAAGAUGUUAUCAUGAGUAAGCAUUUUCGCAUGAUUAAAGGUUUACCGGUGUAAGAUGGGGAUGCGUUCCAUUAGAUAGUAGGCGGGGUAACGGCCCACCUAGUCUUCGAUGGAUAGGGGUUCUGAGAGGAAGGUCCCCCACAUUGGAACUGAGACACGGUCCAAACUCCUACGGGAGGCAGCAGUGAGGAAUAUUGGUCAAUGGACGAGAGUCUGAACCAGCCAAGUAGCGUGAAGGAUGAAGGUUCUAUGGAUUGUAAACUUCUUUUAUACGGGAAUAAACGAAUCCACGCGUGGAUUUAGCAUGUACCGUAUGAAUAGGAUGGUAC
rnacentral:rRNA from 1 species